rnacentral:rRNA from 1 species
UAAUACGGGGGGGGCCAGCGUUGUUCGGAAUUAUUGGGCGUAAAGGGCGCGCAGGUGGUCGUGCAAGUCAGUUGUGAAAUCCCUUGGCUUACCCAAGGAACUGCUUCUGAUACUGCACGACUUGAGUCCGGGAGAGGAGAGCGGAAUUCCCAGUGUAGCGGUGGAAUGCGUAGAUAUUGGGAGGAACACCAGUGGCGAAGGCGGCUCUCUGGACCGGUACUGACGCUGAGGCGCGAAAGCUAGGGUAGCAAACAGGAUUAGAUACCCUGGUAGUCCUAGCUGUAAACGAUGGGCACUUGGUGUUGCGGGUGUUGACCCCUGCAGUGCCGUAGCUAACGCGAUAAGUGCCCCGCCUGGGGAGUACGGUCGCAAGGCUG